rnacentral:misc_RNA from 1 species
CCAGUUUUCUGGCCAAAUUCCCACUGAGUUUAGCUCCUUGAAAUUUACUUUUCUUAAUCUCUCUUCCAAUCAUAUCACGGGGCAAAUCCCAAUCAGUUUAGAAAACACUGCUUAUAGCAGCAGCUUCUUGAACAAUCCUGGUCUCUGUACUAGAAGUUCAUUGCUAAGCCUUAAUCUAUGCAAUCCCAAUAGCCAAAAAUCAAGCAAAAACUCUACCCAAUUCAUAGCUCUGAUAUCAAGUAUUCUGGCA